rnacentral:misc_RNA from 1 species
GAUGAAGAACGUAGCGAAAUGCGAUAAGUAAUGUGAAUUGCAGAAUUCAGUGAAUCAUCGAAUCUUUGAACGCACAUUGCGCCCGCCAGUAUUCUGGCGGGCAUGCCUGUCCGAGCGUCAUUUCAACCAUCAAGCCCCGGGCUUGUGUUGGGGACCUGCGUCCGACGCAGGCCCUGAAAACCAGUGGCGGGCUCGCUGUCCACACCGAGCGUAGUAACUAACCUCGCUAUGGAGUGGCGCGGGCGCCUGCCGUAAAACCCCCAAUUUCACAAGGUUGACCUCGGAUCAGGUAGGAAUACCCGCUGAACUUAAGCAUAUCAAUAAGCGGAGGA